rnacentral:rRNA from 1 species
UGGGGAAUUUUGGACAAUGGGCGAAAGCCUGAUCCAGCAAUGCCGCGUGUGUGAAGAAGGCCUUCGGGUUGUAAAGCACUUUUGUCCGGAAAGAAAUCCUUGGCUCUAAUACAGUCGGGGGAUGACGGUACCGGAAGAAUAAGCACCGGCUAACUACGUGCCAGCAGCCGCGGUAAUACGUAGGGUGCAAGCGUUAAUCGGAAUUACUGGGCGUAAAGCGUGCGCAGGCGGUUUGCUAAGACCGAUGUGAAAUCCCCGGGCUCAACCUGGGAACUGCAUUGGUGACUGGCAGGCUAGAGUAUGGCAGAGGGGGGUAGAAUUCCACGUGUAGCAGUGAAAUGCGUAGAGAUGUGGAGGAAUACCGAUGGCGAAGGCAGCCCCCUGGGCCAAUACUGACGCUCAUGCACGAAAGCGUGGGGAGCAAACAGGAUUAGAUACCCUGGUAGUCCACGCCCUAAACGAUGUCAACUAGUUGUUGGGGAUUCAUUUCCUUAGUAACGUAGCUAACGCGUGAGGUUGACCGCCUGGGGAGUACGGUCGCAAGAUUAAAACUCAAAUGAAUUGACGGGGUCAUAGCUGUUUCC